UUCGUACAUGGGCUAAGGUUUGCUAUAAAUAGAGCGAGAACCCUAGGAAAUGCUCACUUUAUUUCCCUCCCGAAUUACUUCUAGGGUUCUGAAAAGAGGCAUCGAGUUUUAUUUAUCUCCCUAACCAUGAGAGCCAAGUGGAAGAAGAAGCGGAUGAGGAGGUUGAAGAGGAAGCGUCGAAAGAUGAGGCAGAGAUCCAAGUAGUCCUGUCCCAUGAUUUCCCGAGCAUCGAUCACUUUGGCUCUUUUAAGGGUUUCUUAUUUUCAUUGUUGUUUUGAUUUCGUUAAUUUCAAUCUGUUUCAGUACUGUGGUACGUUUUGGCACUGCAUUUGUAGUCCUAGUAUCCAAUCCACGGAUAGUUUAAUAAUUUUGAAAUAUCAUUUGAAUUUAACUGGUAUAUUAACGUGCUUUACUUUUUCAAUUCA